GUUAACCAACUACAGUGCUGCAGCAUCUUAACCCGAACCUUAGCAUUCUGUGCCCUCUGAGGUCCACACUGUGGUGGAUCGAUGAUGAAAAGUAGCCAAAUCUGAGAUGUGGGGGUCACAUCCACCACCCAUGAUUAUGCUAGAGAAGCUGUGUGUGUGUGUGUGUGUGUGUGUGGUGUAAAAAAAAAGUGUACGAAUGAAUGUCUGAAUGUAGGUGCUGUAUGAAUGUGAGAGGUGCUGUGUCUGUGUGUGUGAGUGAAAUGUCUGAGCGAUGAUGUAAAUCUCAGUACUUGAGGUGCAAGUUUAAAGUAAUUGCUUGCAUUUUAAUGAUUGUCUCUACACUUGAACUGAGCUCAGAUAAUUGGUCUGUUUGUCUGUGUGUAUUCAGCUGGGACUGACCUUAACAUCUGAUUAAGCCUGUCCUCCACAGCCAUCUUUAUUCCAGCAAACAUUAUUUUACCUGGGUCUAGGUCGGUUGGCACCUGAAACAUGAUAAAGGGGACUAGCAGUGUUUUCACAUAGUUCGUUUUAAAAGAACCGAACAGAGUUCUGUUAAAGUGAACCUGGAAGGGCACCAACUGCAAAUGACCUCAGUUCAUUUUGCGUUCACAAUCUAAGUGAACUGUAAAGAGGAGUUUUCUUUCUGGUCCUUCGAGAUCUCUGAUCUCUUUUUGUUCAGACCACAACUCCACUAGAACUCGAGAGGCGGCGAGAGGAACCACCAGACCUGCCUGCUGCUCUCUUAUUGGCCGCACUGAAACGAUUGGCCAAAGUGCAUCACACAACAUUGGAAAAAUGACCCUGCGUGUCUACCGCAGUGGGUUUUGUUUUCAGCUGUGCUCCUCACUGAGCUCCACCUGGUGAAACUCUGCAUCAGCAGUGAAUUUUCAUUCAUUCAGCAUUCAGUGUGAAAGCAGCUUAAAAUUGCAUUGCGUCCCCAGCUUGAGCCUUUAACACGGUAAAAUCAGGUGGGCUCUCGCAUCUUAUCGCUUUAAUAUGUCAGCGCUGCUGUCUUGUCGCAGGUCACGGGCAGACUUUAUCCUGAGUAGAACCUUAUAAAUGAUCCUUGGUGGUCGGUUUUUACCUGCUAAAGUGCUGAGGACUGUGGCUGUGUGUAUGGUGAGCCUCGCUUUUCACCAUAAAGCAAAGCUAAAGCGGUAUGGGGCUGUUUUGUUUUCACAAAGUACAAAUAAAUCAAACUACAAUACAAAUGAACCAAACUGAGACCACUUCGAGAGGGCCAUUUAGAGGGGUCUGAGUUUGUUUGGCAUGUUCACAUAUGCAAAAGAAACCAUAACUCAGCGGUCUCGGUCCACUUCAUAUGCUGAAACAGCCCAAGUGUGAAAACACCCUAAGAAACCAAGUUUUUUCCCGUUACAUUUUUCUUUGUGUUACAUUAGCUAAACAAACAUGCAUUCUCUGUUGCAUACAUAGUAAGAACCAGUGCUUUAGUAACUUGUUGGUUGUUUUUGAAUGUAAAACUGUUCCUUAGGUAUGUGCUGAGGUCCUGUGUGAUCAGCCAUAACUGCUAAAAAUGGCUGCUACAACUGAGGGAUUGAUGACUACCCCUACCUUCAUCUGGAUUGCAGACUUUGAGUAACACAUGUUGACUGCAGGUGUAUUGGAAUCUUGUGACUGGUCUCUGGAUUUGGGUCUUUUCUGCAUCUGCCUGGAGCUCAAAUGACCUUGCCAGAACAACCACCAGUGAGCAUGAACCCCCUUAACCCCCAGCUGUGCUGAGAAUAGUCUGUGUGUUCUGGUGGCUCUACCAAGUGAUCCUCACCUUAGUAGCCAUGGUGAUGCAUGAUGGAAGGAGUUGUGUUUUUCUUUUUUUUUUCUCUCUAUACUGAAUGACUGAAGAAAGUACUGAGCAAUGAUGUAAAUCUAAGUACUUGAGGUGCAAGUUUAAAGUAGUUGCUUGCAUUUUAAGACUGGAAUAUAUUUUUGUUCAUGUUGUAUAGUAUUGUGGGGAAAAAAAAAAAAGUUCUCUGAUGAAAUUUGGUGUUUGAAAUAUUUUGGAUAACAAUGUGUAAAUGGUUGGAAUGAUAUUUGAAGCCUUUCAGUGAGAUAUUGCUGCUUAGUAGCCAUGUUAAACUAAACAAUCCUUUUAAAAAUCUAAACUGGCAACACUGUCAGGUCUACACUUUAAAUAUUAGGUGUGCACUUUGGGUCACAACAAGCUCUCACUCAAGUCUGGAGAUUGCAAGACUGGUUCAAGCUGCACCACUUGCCACAGUUCCAAAAUUUGUUUUGAAAAGGGUUCUGUUUUCUAAUUUGAUUAGCUUAAAAAGGAUUUUUGAUCUGUGGUGCUACAGCAACGAUUUCCAAUUAACCGACCUUAGGGAUGUCCAGUCUUACCCAGAAUGAGCCAGCUUGGCUGCAGGUUUUCUUUCCAACAAUUGAUCAACUAAAUCUGAAUGAACAGGUAGAACCUGCUUUAUUAGGAUGAAGACCUGCAGCUACACUGGCCUUUUAUAAAUAACAUUGGACACCCUGACCUACACCUCAAAAGUAGAUGAAAUGAUUAGUCUACACCAAAAGAGACAGUGUUUCAAAACCCUGGUCAUGGAGGCCAACUGUCCUGUCCAUGUUGGUACUUUCCCUGCUUUAACACACCCACUUACACUGAGUAAGAGGUUGUUAAUAAUGCGAUGAGCCCAGUUUCCCAAAAGCAUUGUAGUGUUAAAAUCAUCUUAACUAGUAGAAGGGGAAUAUUCGGUGUGAUGUUUUCAGGAAACCCAGCCCCAAAUAGUUGACCUGGGGUGUUUGGAGCAGGGAAAAUGCUAAAUGAGCAGAGCAGGGGGCCUCCAGGACCAGGGUUGUGAAAUGGUGUAAACUUUCAAAAUGUUUGUCUAUGUUCUGCAGAUGUUUCCCCAGUUUUGUAUGGAUGUACUGCCUGCUUGGGGAAAUUCUCUGAUGUCCUUUUGAAGGAAAAAUAAAGAUUUAAAGUGGUAA